GAUGAACGCUGGCGGCGUGCCUAAUACAUGCAAGUAGAACGCUGAAGGAGGAGCUUGCUCUUCUGGAUGAGUUGCGAACGGGUGAGUAACGCGUAGGUAACCUGCCUGGUAGCGGGGGAUAACUAUUGGAAACGAUAGCUAAUACCGCAUGACAACAGUUAUUGCAUGAUAACUGUUUAAAAGGGGCAACUGCUCCACUACCAGAUGGACCUGCGUUGUAUUAGCUAGUUGGUGAGGUAACGGCUCACCAAGGCGACGAUACAUAGCCGACCUGAGAGGGGGAACGGCCCACCUUGGACUGGGACACGGCCCAGACUCCUUAGGGGAGCAGCAGGAGGGGAUCUUCGGCAAUGGGCGGAAGUCUGACCGGGCAACGCCGCGGGGGUGAAGAAGGUUUUCGGGUCGUAAAGAUCUGUUGUAAGAGAAGAACGAGUGUGAGAGUGGAAAGUUCACACUGUGACGGUACCUUACCAGAAAGGGACGGCUAACUACGUG
rnacentral:rRNA from 1 species